rnacentral:lncRNA from 1 species
AAUUGUCGUAGGUUGCGCAAAUGUCCAAAGAAAAGAGAAUAAUAACACGCGAAGGCGACCGAGCUCAAGCAAACCAAGAUAUCGGUACGAAAUAAGCAUCAAUAACCCAAGGAGGAGAAAUAAGAGACGCCUCGCACAAUGUAUUUUGAAUUAUAAUUAAUUAAAUUGUUUGUAUUUAUAUUAAUGAAAUUGUUGCACCUAAAUAAAAAUUAAUUUGAGUAUAUACUGUAUUAAAAGAAACAGUUUUAUAUAACAUUAUUUUAUUGAAUAUCUAGUAUUUUUCGUUGCCAACGGUCAUAAUUUUAUGGUUCAAUGUAAAUAUAUGAUAAAUACACAAUUAUUUAAUUUACUAGAUAUUGAAGUAUCAUAAUAUUUGUGCUAUUUUUUGCGGAAAGGUUAAAUAGUAAUUCCGUGUCUGCGAAUAUCAUCUUCUCCUUUCUUCGUUAAAAGAAACCU